rnacentral:rRNA from 1 species
GACGUAGGAUGCAAGCGUUGUCCGGAUUUACUGGGCGUAAAGAGCGCGUAGGCGGUCCGUUAAGUGUGAAGCUAAAUCUCUUGGCUCAACCAAGAACUAUUUCGCAUACUGACGGGCUGGAGUGAUGCAGAGGUGGAUAGAAUUCCCGGUGUAGCGGUGAAAUGCGUUGAUAUCGGGAGGAAUACCCGUGGCGAAGGCGGUCCACUGGGCAUCAACUGACGCUGAGGCGCGAAAGCGUGGGUAGCAAACAGG